CCGGAGCCCCGCUCCGUGCGGUACGGACACCUACAGCCACGGACACGGAGCUGUAGAGAGAAGCAGGCAGAGCCACCGGAGCUGCACGGUGUGCUGGUGCUCUGAGGGUUUGGGGGGAAACGUGACAAAUAAAAGCCCUCAUUCUCACAGCAUACGAACUAGCGAAACCCGAGUCAUCGCUCGGGCAGAGAAAUCAAUUCUCCUUAACCGAGGGAAAAGAGGAGAGAGACUGAGAGAAAAGGAUCAGCCGAGGGGAAAAUACUCGGAGUUUUAACCUCAAUGCAACGACACGUACAGUACGGCCGAGCCGAGCGCAGAACGGACGGGAAAUUAAUCCGUUCUCCAGCAGUGAAAGGAGGGUUAAAUAAAGAAAGAAAGAGAGAGAGACGAAGAGGGGGGAAAAAGCAGCAGCGCCUAUGUAUAGCGUUUGUAAAAGUUGUGCUCUGGCAAAGGCCGUCUGAAGGGGAGGCCCUUGCAGCAGGAAUGCGAGCGGCGGCUGCAGCCUCGCUCCACAGUCCGGCCUCCCCCUCGCAGCGACUGGAGCCGGCAGGCGGAGGAGGCCGCGUUGGCGCAGCGCGGGGCCGGGGCUGCCGAUGGGAGGGAGGCACGGCACAGCGACAGCACGGGACCGUGCGGGCCACGGAGGACAGAGCAGCCGUGAGGAGAGACAGCGGGGCCGGCUAAUGGAGCUUUUAAUUGGGGGCGGGAGGGGGGGGAGUGGGAGGGAAAGGAAAGGAAGGUCCUACGGAAAUAUCUUCCGGGAUUAGAACAAGGAGCGCUGGACUCUCAUCUCGAUGCGGCCCUGUAGGAAAGCGCUGCGGGGACGGCGAAAAAAGCCGCUCGGAAGAGCCGCGGGGCUGAAAACGGGGAUUGGAAAGGAGAAAAAAAAAAAAAAAAAAAGAAAGAAAGUGGAUGGUGGGUGUGACAAAAAAAGCUGGGUGAUUCUGUUUUCUCAUGCCCUCGCUCCUCCACCAGCUGCACAGCCAAGCGCAGGCUGCUUGGCCCUUAUAACUAUCUUGGCACGGAGUCAAAAGCUGAUAAGCAUUUGGGCGAGACAGCUCAACUGCUGUGCUGGAAGAAAAACAGCUGCCAUGAUUUCUGUUUGAUUGAGAGCGCUUACACACACGCACAAAAAAACACAUCGGGCUGCAGAGACGGGCCACGAAUGCCUGAGGAUUCAGCUUCAGAAGAGCAACGCACGUUUCCUUAAAGAAAAAAAAAGAAAGAAAAAAGAAAGAAAAAAAAAAGUUUUAUACAGUUUUGCCUCCGUUCCUCCUCCCCUUUCUAAAGAAAAUGCGCUGCGUAGACUCGCUCCUCUGUUUCCCAUCCCCCUCCAUAACCUCAAGCAAACUCGAGGAAUUGUGCCAAAAGUCCCGUUGCUAGUUACCGAGUGCGUUUUUUUUUCUCAACGUCCCUUUGAUAGUUCUUCCCCUUGUGCUUGCCAUGGAAUAUGCAAGUAAGAUAAUCUUUCCAUUACUUACGAAAAGCAAUUAAAAAUGAAAAGAGCUUCUAGCAAACCUUCCUUUUUAUACUUUUUUUUCCCCCCCUCUGAAGGGGCAGAAGAAGGGAGAUGAGGGAGAGAAGAAUAUAUAUAUUUUUUUCCCCUCUUUGCAGAGUCCAACAUUUGGCUUUUUCCAUUUGUGGCAGAUCACUGUAACGCUAUUGUAAAACAACUUCCUGCCCCUUUUGGCUCCGGUUCCAGAGGCUGCUAGGCUAAGUUCAUAGCGCAAACUUUUUUCCCCCUUGCCGAAGAAAGGCAAAUAAUAAUAAUAAUAAAAUUCCUGCAAAUGAUGUUCCUCCUCCUCUGGCUAAUGGACUCCCAAGGUGAACGCACUGCAGCCCUGUAAGAAUGUCACACAAGAGGCAGCACUAUCCCAGCUGGAGAAUCCAUGAGCUGAAAGUUUCUGGUCUUUCCUUAACGAAGUACAAAGAGAGGGAAAGAGACUAUCAUCGGGAAAACUGAAAGGAUAAAGCCUCUGUAGCAUGCACAUACCACCAGGAAGCAUGAGGUUUAGCCCAGAGGGCUCACAACAUGAAAGAAACUUCCAGACUCACCAGACGGGUGACAUGCCCACUGCAGGUGGGUGAAUGACUAGCACCCAGUACAACCCCCGACAUUUCUCACCUCUCCACUUCUUCGUCUAGAAUAUAAGAAUUUAAUCUCACAGUUUCCAGUGACUGCUAUCCCCCAAAAUUUAGAAGAAUAAACACUGAGCUUUUUAAUGCACCAAGGGUCAAAGAAAGAACACUGGUGUUGGAAAGUCCUCACAGACAGCUAAGUUUAAAAAAAGUCAGUGUCCAUAGCAAAACAAGCUCUUAGGGAAAAACAAAAACCUACAAUAGGUAUUUAAAACAACCUACUGGGAAAUCCAGUAACGUAUCGUCUCAUUGCAUGUUUAUCAGAUCUUCUCAUUUACUUAAAUGGGAACACUCUGCUUUUAUGCAUGGAAGAUUAUGCAGGCAUAGCAUAGUGGUUCAAAAUAAAGGGAAACAAUCUCUAAACACAGAAGAAGCACAUGGACAAGGGCAAAUUGGGUACUGAGAAAAACUACAUAUAUCGAGGCAAAGAGGUGCCUAUUUUCAAAAGCAAAAA